GACGAACGCUGGCGGCGUGCUUAACACAUGCAAGUCGAGCGAUGAAGUUCCUUCGGGAAUGGAUUAGCGGCGGACGGGUGAGUAACACGUGGGUAACCUGCCUCAUAGAGGGGAAUAGCCUUCCGAAAGGAAGAUUAAUACCGCAUAAGAUUGUAGUGCCGCAUGGCAUAGCAAUUAAAGGAGCAAUCCGCUAUGAGAUGGACCCGCGUCGCAUUAGCUAGUUGGUGAGGUAACGGCUCACCAAGGCGACGAUGCGUAGCCGACCUGAGAGGGUGACCGGCCACAUUGGGACUGAGACACGGCCCAGACUCCUACGGGAGGCAGCAGUGGGGAAUAUUGCACAAUGGGGGAAACCCUGAUGCAGCAACGCCGCGUGAGUGAUGACGGUCUUCGGAUUGUAAAACUCUGUCUUCAGGGACGAUAAUGACAGUACCUGAGGAGGAAGCCACGGCUAACUACGUGCCAGCAGCAGCCGCCG
rnacentral:rRNA from 1 species